rnacentral:rRNA from 1 species
UACGAAGGGUGCAAGCGUUACUCGGAAUUACUGGGCGUAAAGCGUGCGUAGGUGGUUUGUUAAGUCUGAUGUGAAAGCCCUGGGCUCAACCUGGGAAUUGCAUUGGAUACUGGCAGGCUAGAGUGCGGUAGAGGGUAGUGGAAUUCCCGGUGUAGCAGUGAAAUGCGUAGAGAUCGGGAGGAACAUCUGUGGCGAAGGCGACUACCUGGACCAGCACUGACACUGAGGCACGAAAGCGUGGGGAGCAAACAGGAUUAGAUACCCUGGUAGUCCACGCCCUAAACGAUGCGAACUGGAUGUUGGGCUCAACUUGGAGCUCAGUAUCGAAGCUAACGCGUUAAGUUCGCCGCCUGGGGAGUACGGUCGCAAGACUGAA